UGCCCGAAAGGGUGACGAAGCGACGCCGCGUGAGCGAAGAAGGCCCUAGGGUUGUAAAGCUCUGUCAGGGGUUAAGAAAUGCAGGCAGGUUAAUACCCUGUUUGUUUGACAAAGGCCCCAAAGGAAGCCACGGCUAACUCUGUGCCAGCAGCCGCGGUAAUACAGAGGUGGCGAGCGUUGUUCGGUAUUAUUGGGCGUAAAGAGCACGUAGGUGGUUUUGUAAGUCAGAUGUGAAAGCCUUCUGUUCAAAGGAAGAACGGCAUCUGAAACUGCUGAUCUUGAGUGUAGGAGGGGAGAGUGGAACUUCUGGUGGAGCGGUGAAAUGCGUAGAUAUCAGAAGGAACGUCGGCGGCGAAAGCGACUCUCUGGCCUAUUACUGACACUGAGUGUGCGAAAGUUAGGGGAGCAAACGGGAUUAGAUACCCCGGUAGUCCUAACCGUAAACGAUGGGCACUAAGUAGAGGGGUUUU
rnacentral:rRNA from 1 species